CAACGACUGUCUGCUCUGUUUGACUGUCAGGUAAUAUCACCGGUGUGCCCUUUACUGAACUUACAAAGGUUCAGCUACACCUGGAGCUGAAAGGGUGUCACAAUCUGGUUCAAGCACUCCUCAGGACAGGAAGGCCGAUCUUACUACCGUGGGGGCUUGAACUCAUGCUCACUGUGCUGGACUGCUGUCCCCAGUUUACAAACCCUUCAUGCAAUGUCCUGAAGGAAAAAAUGGCAAAGAGAAGAAGAGCGCUGUGCAGCCUCUGGAAUUGACUGUGAAAUUAACGGGAGAACUGUUAUUCCAGCGUGCCGCACUAACCAGUGUGAAAAACAAAUAGUGACAGUGAUAACGAAGCAGCUAAUGAAAUAACCCUCUCAUCUUGUCUCUGUGGGCCAACCCUCCAGCAGCUUCUGUAUUUGUCACAAAGCCGAUGUUUCAGAGAACCAUGACCUCGAGUGUGGUUGCUGGGGAAUGGGAGCUUGGCGCCAGUUGUGAUUGGAAACCUGCAGAGCAGCAAGGGCAUGGUCAAGGGUUUUAAUGAAGAUUUUGAGGCUGGAGCUGAUGAUGAGUCUAUUUCCCUGGACUUGAUUCAGCUGUUUCUCCAUCUGGCGUUUGAGCACCUGGGUUUUGCAGAAUCAGCUGCAGCAGAGGUGACAAUAUGAUGGUGAAGGUGAAAAUGACUGAAACCUGGCAGAGAGAGUGGACUGGUGUUUGGAUUUACUGUCACCUUUUCACACUGAUUGGAGUGGAGGUUAAUGUUGUUCUGGGGGGAAAAAACAUCAUGAAUACUAGCUCUACUAGUAAGCAGUACUGUCACUUCUGUAUGAGCUUGUACGGCGAGCAUGGAAGCUCCAGAUGACUGUGGCCUCUGCACAGCUGCCACGUGAAACCCUUUCACUGUGCCGGAACAGAGAAAAGCAGUUUUAAAACAGCCAAUUAUUACACUCUAAUAGUCCAGACUGCUUAAAAUAUCAGCUUUGAUGGAAAAGGGCUCUUUGAUGGAAAAGUUAGGUGUGCUUGUCUUAAUAAUAAUAAUGCAUCCAGAGCAAGAAUUAUAGAGAAGAUCAUUUGUGACAGUACCUACAAGCAUUAUCUCCCAUUUUCACCUGGAACGGCAUUGAAUGAAGGACUUUUUUUGCCCAUGUCCGCUUUAGCUACUGUUGCUGGAUCUGGAGUAAUUUUUUCCCUGUUCAGUUGCCAUUAGUUUCCCCCUAAAAUAGCAGACGACAGCAAAAACCUCUGUAGCCAAUCUCCUCUUUCCUAGUUGGUCAGUAUCAGCCUCUUCCUCGCUCUGCCGCUCACUUUCAGCAGAGAUUAGGAUGUAUGAAUUCAUUGGGCUGGCUGUGGCUGUAGUUGUAUAAAAUGAACACAUGUGAGCUUUGCAUCAAGCCACGUGUGCUACUCGUGCACGAAUACACUGUCACUUUAUGUUGACCCCAUAAUUCUCCGUUGUCCAUGAUUUAUAACUGAGAAUUGCUACAAAAUCCCCUCCGCCACUCUGCUUUCACAUACAGAAAGCAAUGAGAGGCAUGUCAUAGCUUCUUAUGAAUAAAAAUUGAUAACAUUAUGGGGGUUUCAUUUCAACCAUGAAAUGUUGCUGUCAUUUCUACUUCUCGGAGCACAAUGUAUGCCACACCACAGAAAUAUCCCCCAGAUCCCAUGAGAGAAAUGUCAUUCUCCCACGGCCAUAAGUCCUGCAACAUCCCCAGAAUAUGCAAUCAGCCAGGGGAGGUGGAUGGAAACAAAAUUGCUACAGGCAGACCUAUUAAAAACAUACUGCGGUCAUGGGAGGAGUUAGUGUUGUAACAAGG